GCCGUUCACUCUUUCCCCCUCGCGAACCCGAGCCCUAACCGCCGCCUCCCCCUCGCGAUUAAAGCCUUACCGACCCUUCCUCUUUUCCUUCUUCGUCAUUGAGCGAUUCUCCGGCAGCCACAUCUUCUUCCUUCUUUCUCCCUGAAGCCUGCCCAAGCGCCGGUGAGCGCUAGCCACUGCUGGUCAAGCCGUCGGCUGUGCCCUAGUGUCCUUGUUGACGGCGCCGACGCCCAUAGAAGUUCCUCUCUUCUGCCGACAGCCGCCCUCACGGAGUGAUCCCGACUCCGCCGUCUUGCGCCGAGCAGCAGUGUCGCUGGCUACUCCUCCGAGGAGUGCCCUAGGUGCCGACGCCGCACCUCUCUUCCUCUUCUCCUUUCGGCAUCUGAGCCUUAGCAGCGGUCGACUCUCUGUGCCAACACCCGAGCCCCAGUGCCGUCGCUGUGCCCUAGCGAGCCCGACGCCACUCCUUGUCACUGCCGCUGCACACUUUGCCCCAGUGCCGAACCGACCCUUUCUUCUACCCUAGCCGAGCCUCACAUUGGCGUGAGUUGCUGCCCUGGAUUCUACCGAGCUUUGGCUUUAGGGUCAGUGGCUCACUCUAGCUAUGACCACGGUUCCAGAAACAGGUGUUCCAUCGACAAAUUAACGACGAAGAAUACGAAUUUGGGUGAGUUUGGAUUGAGGACUUUGACGCGAGACGAGUAUCUUAACGUCGGACUUGGACGAUUGGAUUUUUCCUAUUGGAGGCGGGUACUUUUGACUUUUUGUCCUUGAUAUGCUUAGUAAUGAAAAUAACAUGUUGCAUUAAUUGUGUUUCUUAUCUGUUUCGGUUAAUCACUACCCAAAUCUUGG